rnacentral:rRNA from 1 species
UACGUAGGGUGCAAGCGUUGUCCGGAAUUAUUGGGCGUAAAGAGCUCGUAGGCGCUUGUCGCGUCGUUCGUGAAAACCCACAGCUCAACUGUGGGCUUGCGGUCGAUACGGGCAGGCUGGAGUUCGGUAGGGGAGACUGAAUUCCUGGUGUAGCGGUGAAAUGCGUAGAUAUCUGAAGGAACAUCAGUGGCGAAAGCGACUUCCUGGACCAAUACUGACGCUCAUGUGCGAAAGCGUGGGGAGCAAACAGG